UAACAGUGUAUAAAAUUUAAAAAUAAAUAAAUAUAUAUAUAUAUAUAUAUAUAAAUACAAGAAGAAAAAAAAAUUCUAAUAAUUACUAAUAAAAUUGUAUGGGUUGUUGAGAAAAAUAAAUGGAAACUUUUCUAGUAUGAAGCUGUUUGUUAUAUGAAUCACACGACGCGCUAAAUGGUGAUUGACGCAACACUUAAUUGUUAUUGUCUGUCGUCAUUUAAUUUCGAUAAACAUAUUUAUAGAAAAAUACAGUAUAUGAAUAGGUAUUGUUUAAAAAUAAAAAAUAACACCUUGCAGCUUAUUGUUAACCGGGGUAUUAAAAUUCAAAUAUCCAAUGAUUUUCUUGUGAGGGGGGGAGAAAGGGUGUGAGAAAUUAGGUCGAUCGGAAAAGUGGUUUCCGAAUCGAGUCACAUGACUUAAUAAUAACUUCUGCCCCCCUUCAAUAUAAUAAUAAUAACGAACCAAUAAAACAGUAGCCAAACGGGAGAAGUGCGUACGCGAACAAUACAGUUAAUUGUGCGUGCCAUUUGUAAAUUUUAGUAAACGUAAAA